rnacentral:tRNA from 1 species
AAUUUAGUAGUUUAAAUAAAAAUGAUAAGUUGCAAAUUUAUAAAUAUAUAAUAAUUUAUAUCUAAAUUU